rnacentral:rRNA from 1 species
GACGAACGCUGGCGGCGUGCUUAACACAUGCCAGUCGAACGGAAAGGCCCUGCUUUUGUGGGGUGCUCGAGUGGCGAACGGGUGAGUAACACGUGAGUAACCUGCCCUUGACUUUGGGAUAACUUCAGGAAACUGGGGCUAAUACCGGAUAGGAGCUCCUGCUGCAUGGUGGGGGUUGGAAAGUUUCGGCGGUUGGGGCUGGACUCGCGGCUUAUCAGCUUGUUGGUGGGGUAGUGGCUUACCAAGGCUUUGACGGGUAGCCGGCCUGAGAGGGUGACCGGCCACAUUGGGACUGAGAUACGGCCCAGACUCCUACGGGAGGCAGCAGUGGGGAAUGUUGCACAAUGGGCGGAAGCCUGAUGCAGCAACGCCGCGUGCGGGAUGACGGCCUUCGGGUUGUAAACCGCUUUCGCCUUUGACGAAGCGUGAGUGACGGUAAUGGGUAAAUAAGCACCGGCUAACUACGUG